rnacentral:lncRNA from 1 species
AGUGGGGUUAGGGUUUGACCUCGAAGCGGCCUUGGUAGGGCUAGGUGUAUGAGGAAUAGUGGUAAGAGGAAUGACAUGAAUUGGAAUGACGUCAGCAGAACUGGAGGAAGUCAUUGUUGACGAUUUGCAGAGAGGAGAAAUAAAUUUGAGAAAGAGAGAAAUCUAAGAGCUCGAAAGGGCGUCUGAAAUUUGAAUUAACAGGUAAAGUUGUCAAUUUGAG